rnacentral:rRNA from 1 species
UACAGAGGUGGCAAGCGUUGUUCGGAAUUACUGGGCGUAAAGGGCGCGUAGGCGGCCUUCUAAGUCAGACGUGAAAUCCCCCGGCUUAACCUCGGAACUGCCUUUGAUACUGCAAAUCUCGAGUCCGAUAGAGGUGGGUGGAAUUCCUAGUGUAGAGGUGAAAUUCGUAGAUAUUAGGAAGAACACCGGUGGCGAAGGCGGCCCACUGGAUCGGUACUGACGCUGAGGUGCGAAAGCGUGGGGAGCAAACAGG